CCUACGGGGCGCUGCAGUGGGGAAUAUUGGACAAUGGGCGAAAGCCUGAUCCAGCCAUGCCGCGUGUGUGAAGAAGGCCUUCGGGUUGUAAAGCACUUUCAGUGGGGAAGAAAGCCUUGGGGCUAAUACCCUCGAGGAAGGACAUCACCCACAGAAGAAGCACCGGCUAACUCCGUGCCAGCAGCCGCGGUAAUACGAAGGGUGCGAGCGUUAAUCGGAAUUACUGGGCGUAAAGCGCGCGUAGGCGGUCUGAUAAGCCGGUUGUGAAAGCCCCGGGCUCAACCUGGGAACGGCAUCCGGAACUGUCAGGCUAGAGUGCAGGAGAGGAAGGUAGAAUUCCCGGUGUAGCGGUGAAAUGCGUAGAGAUCGGGAGGAAUACCAGUGGCGAAGGCGGCCUUCUGGACUGACACUGACGCUGAGGUGCGAAAGCGUGGGUAGCAAACAGGAUUAGAUACCCCGGUAGUC
rnacentral:rRNA from 1 species